GCAAUGGUGUCUUUAGACACCACCAAUUCUUUCGAAUAUUCUAUU
rfam:Picea glauca, whole genome shotgun sequence.